CUUCACCGACCCCAACCACAACGGCCGGUCCCGGUCCUGCCCGUACGUGGCCAGCAACGCCUGCGCCUC
rnacentral:antisense_RNA from 1 species